AGGAUCCCCGCCCCCUGCCAGGUGAGCAGGCUCGGAACCCUCUAGUCGUACCAUCUGGCAUGGGUGCUGACAGAAAGCCAGCGGAAGGCUGCAGAGGCUCUGGGACCCUCAGCUGCUUGAGGCGGUGCUCCUGCCUGCGGAGGCUCAGCACGGAGGGCCAGUCACUCGGCCAUCGCUCUGCCCAGGAGCCUGCGCGUCUUCUUUCUGACCGAGCACAAGCUGCCUACUUUGAGGGACAGAGGCAGUGGUGGUUCAUGUUUCUGGAUCUGCUCAUACCUGGCUUUUCUGCAGAUGCUCCAAGUGCUGGAUCCGAGAGCCCCAUGGAGGGAGGCCAUGGCUUGAAUUAGUGCUGCCUCAGCUAGAGGGGUCCACAGACCACCAACGUGUCCCCUCUGUGGACAUCAUGUCCCCUUCCGGUGUAUUUUUAGUCUGUACCCUGGAAGCCUCACACACAUAGUAGACAGCCGGGAGAGAACGACAUGGCCCCAUUUAUUAUUGAAUAAGUAUUUCAGUUCGGGGAUUUGACAAUGAACAAGACAGGUAAGGUCCAGCCUCACGGGCUUUCUGUUUUGGGAUGGGUCAGACGAUCAUCAAGUGGAGGUGUGGCUGCAGUAAAGAAAUUAGAACAGGGUGAUACAGUAGAGAAGAGGGAGGGAUCGGACCAGGGCACAGGGAAGGCAUCUCUUAGGAUGUGACACUUAAACUGCCUAGUGUGACAAGAUGUAGCCAGCCGUAAAAAGGCCAGGGAGCAGGGGCUCCCCCAGAGACUGCCCUCCACGGCCCAAGAGUUUGCUCAGCUUGGUGCCCCAGGGCCCUGCUCUGUGAAUUCUCUCUGACUGUGGGUUUACCUGGAGUCUGUUCCCAGUCUUCCUGCAUGUCUGAUACAUUGAUCACCAUCAGUGAAGGCAGUGUGACACAGCGGCAGAGGCCUGUGGGCCACACAGAUGGGAGUUCACUUCUACUUCUAUCACUAACUUUUUGGGUGACCUUAGACAAGUUACUUAACUCAGAUCCUCAACUUUCUCAUCUCUAAAAUGGGAAUGACAUCAUCUUUCUUGCAGAAUUGGGAGGAAUAUAAGGAAUAUAAUGUAUAAUUGAAUGCAAUGCCUGGUUCACAAAACGUGCUGAAUAAAUGAAACACACAUGAAUGCAUACCAUUAUGUCCAUGUAUGCUCAUUACCAGGCAGUUAUAUGUAGUAAGUAAUUGUGUGUCUGAUGCCUUAUGCAUACAUGUGUGCACACGGCUCAGCAGCCGACACACUCUUGAACCACAGAUUCAAGUAGGAUUUAUGAAGGAAACAAGGCAAAGGAAACAAACAUUCAUUAAAAUCUGAUCAUUUCUUGUUUUCUGCUUAAUGCUGUUUUCCUGAGC